UACGUAGGUCCCGAGCGUUAUCCGGAUUUAUUGGGUUUAAAGGGUGCGUAGGCGGACUGUCAAGUCAGCGGUAAAAUUGAGAGGCUCAACCUCUUCCCGCCGUUGAAACUGGUGGUCUUGAGUGGAUGAGAAGUACGCGGAAUGCGUGGUGUAGCGGUGAAAUGCAUAGAUAUCACGCAGAACUCCGAUUGCGAAGGCAGCGUACCGGCAUCCAACUGACGCUGAGGCACGAAAGCGUGGGGAUCAAACAGG
rnacentral:rRNA from 1 species